rnacentral:rRNA from 1 species
GGGUCAGUAGGUUGGUCGUGCCACCGGUACGUACUGGUCUCACUGAUUCCUCCUUCCUGAAGAACCGUAAUACCAUUAAUUUGGUGCUGCGGGGAAACAGGACUGUUACUUUGAAAAAAUUAGAGUGUUUAAAGCAAGCUAACGCUUGAAUACAUUAGCAUGGAAUAAUGAAAUAGGACGAUCGAUCCUAUUUUGUUGGUUUCUAGGAUUGACGUA